rnacentral:rRNA from 1 species
UUUGAUCCUGGCUCAGGAGGUCGCUGGCGGCGUGCUAAUACAUGCAAGUCGAGCGGACAGAAGGGAGCUUGCUCCCGGAUGUUAGCGGUGGACGGGUGAGUAACACGUGGGUAACCUGUCUGUAACACUGGGAUAACUCCGGGAAAGCGGAGCUAAUACCGGAUAGUUCCUUGAACCGCAUGGUUCAAGGAUGAAAGACGGUUCGGGUGUUCACUUACAGAUGGACCCGCGGCGCAUUAGCUAGUUGGUGAGGUAACGGCUCACCAAGGCGACGAUGCGUAGCCGACCUGAGAGGGUGAUCGGCCACACUGGGACUGAGACACGGCCCAGACUCCUACGGGAGGCAGCAGUAGGGAAUCUUCCGCAAUGGACGAAAGUCUGACGGAGCAACGCCGCGUGAGUGAUGAAGGUUUUCGGAUCGUAAAGCUCUGUUGUUAGGGAAGAACAAGUGCAAGAGUAACUGCUUGCACCUUGACGGUACCUAACCAGAAAGCCACGGCUAACUACGUGCCAGCAGCCGCGGUAAUACGUAGGUGGCAAGCGUUGUCCGGAAUUAUUGGGCGUAAAGGGCUCGCAGGCGGUUUCUUAAGUCUGAUGUGAAAGCCCCCGGCUCAACCGGGGAGGGUCAUUGGAAACUGGGAAACUUGAGUGCAGAAGAGGAGAGUGGAAUUCCACGUGUAGCGGUGAAAUGCGUAGAGAUGUGGAGGAACACCAGUGGCGAAGGCGACUCUCUGGUCUGUAACUGACGCUGAGGAGCGAAAGCGUGGGGAGCGAACAGGAUUAGAUACCCUGGUAGUC